GGGCUCGCUUUGGCGGCACGUACACUAAAAUUGGAAUGAUACAGAGAUUAGUGUAGCCCCUGCGCACGGAUGACACGCAGAUUCAUGAAGCUUUCCACAUUUUU
ensembl:snRNA U6 U6 spliceosomal RNA